CCUGCAUACAGUUUUCCUUGAGACUUCUACUGAAGUUUCUCCUUCAGAGAAAGGCUGAGUUGAGUGAAACCCUCAAGCCUUCUCCUUCCCAGCAUUAUGAGGCAGAAGUUCCACCAGGG
rnacentral:lncRNA from 12 species